CCCGGGCCGGCCGCCCCCGGCGCCGCACUCUCGGUGAGUAGCCCCGUCGCUUUUCUUGGCAGCGGCCGGGAGGAGAGCCCGGUGCCCCCCGCGGGCUCCGCCGCCCUGCCCGCUGGCCACCCUCUGGGGGCGGGGGAGAUCCGCCGCCGGGCGCGGUUGCCCGGGUGCCGUUGCCUCCCCCGCCCACCCCUCGGCGGGGCCGCGGCGAGCAGGAGGCGGCGGGGAGACAAAAGCGGACAAAGGAGGCAAAAGGCGUGUUCCGCUGCCGGGGUAGGGAUGUCUGGGCACCGCUCUGCACCCGCCGGUCCCGGGGGUACCCGAGCGAGCUGGGGCGGAGAGGUCGGCCCCGGGGUGCCGGGUCCCGGGGUGCCCGCCGCCGCCGCCGCUGCCCGGCUGCUGCUUUGUUCCCCUUCCCUCCGCCUGCCGCCGCUCUCCGGCCCGCCGAGUUGUAGCGGAGUAUUUAUUUCAGCGCAUUUAUUUUUAGGCUGGAAAAUAAAAGGCUUGGCACGGCGACCUUUGGCUGUCGCAUCCGGCGCCAAAUAAAAGGGUCGCGCUCUGGCCGAGGCCGCCCCAGCUCUUAUGUAAAUCCAUGUGCCGUCCCCAAGGACGCGCGGUCCCCGGGGCGCUGCCGUGAUCCAGCCCCCGCGGGGACGGAGGCGCUCCCCGGAGCUCAGCGCAGACCGCGGGAUCGGCAGCAACCCCCCGGAGCUCCGUCACCGGCGUCGGCGGCGAGGAGAGAGGAGGAUGCGGGCGGCGGAGCGGCCGGCGCUGCCCCGCGGCGGGCACGCUCUCCGCGGGGCCCCGGCGGGCGGCUGCUGAGCGCGGCGCCGCGGGCAUGCGGCGAAGGGGAGCGGGAGCCGCCGGCAGCGCGGGCGCCCCGGCGGGCGGGCGGCCCCUCGAGCGAGACUGAGGGUGGAUGGAGCCACAAAGGAGUUUGGCUGACACGUGCGGCGGGGCGGCCGGCGGCCGCGACUAGGGCCACCCCCCUCCCCUCCCUCCUCCCCUCCUCGCUAUGCUGCGCUCUCGCCGGGCCCCUCAGCGCGCUCGACGCACGGCGGCGAUGGAGCCGGCCGGGCUCCUCUGAGGCCGCCGCCGGACCCAGCAUGGCUUCGGCGGGGACCCCGGAGCAGCGGCUCCCCGGGGCGGAGCGGCCGGCGGCGGCGGGGGGCCGGGCGGAGGCG
rnacentral:lncRNA from 1 species